rnacentral:rRNA from 1 species
GAUGAACGCUGGCGGCGUGCCUAAUACAUGCAAGUAGAACGCUGAAGGAAGGAGCUUGCUCUUUCCGGAUGAGUUGCGAACGGGUGAGUAACGCGUAGGUAACCUGCCUGGUAGCGGGGGAUAACUAUUGGAAACGAUAGCUAAUACCGCAUAACAGUAGAUGUUGCAUGAUAUCUACUUAAAAGGUGCAAUUGCACCACUACCAGAUGGACCUGCGUUGUAUUAGCUAGUUGGUGAGGUAACGGCUCACCAAGGCGACGAUACAUAGCCGACCUGAGAGGGUGAUCGGCCACACUGGGACUGAGACACGGCCCAGACGCCUACGGGAGGCAGCAGUAGGGAAUCUUCGGCAAUGGACGGAAGGCUGACCGAGCAACGCCGCGUGAGUGAAGAAGGUUUUCGGAUCGUAAAGCUCUGUUGUAAGAGAAGAACGAGUGUGAGAGUGGAAAGUUCACACUGUGACGGUAUCUUACCAGAAAGGGACGGCUAACUACGUG